GCGUACACCGUGCCGCCGUGGAAGACACAAUCAUGACGCCGUCGACCGGCAACUCGAGAUGCCAGGUGCUACGUACUCAUCAGCUCGUUGCUUUGCUAAUUUGCUUUCUUCUGUAAUAGUAUAUGCAACACAUCUUCAUUAUUGCUACGUACUCACCACGGCUAAUUUGCUACGUGUCGUCUUUCGAUAUGGGAAAGCGGUGUUCUCUAUAAGAU
rnacentral:lncRNA from 1 species